rnacentral:rRNA from 1 species
GUAAAGUUUUAUCCUAGCUUGUUCUUUCAUUUUUAGGUUAAUGGUACAUGUAAAUUUUAAUGUUACAACAUAUUUUGUUAAAACUAAAGGUUAACAAAUGGUCUAAAAGUAGAGGUUUCUUUAAGAAAUAAAUUCUCAGUACCUAGUGCUAAUCAAUAAAUAUACGUUAGAAUUGGUAAUCCUAAUUAUAUACCUGGUUAAAAUUUGUGCCAGCAGCCGCGGUUAGACUGAGAGGUAAAAUGAAAGAAAUUUGGUUAAAAACAGCUAUAUUUAUUAAUUUUUUUCUUUUAAAGGACUAUAUUAAUAAAGGGUGAAAUCAGUUUUUUAAUAAAUAGUAAAAUAAAAGUCUUAAUUUUAAUUGAAG